UUGGAGGGCAAGUCUGGUGCCAGCAGCCGCGGUAAUUCCAGCUCCAAUAGCGUAUAUUAAAGUUGUUGCAGUUAAAAAGCUCGUAGUCGAAUUUCGGGGUCAGUAGGUUGGUCAUGCCACUGGUAUGUACUGGUCUUACUGAUUCCUCCUUCCUGAUGAGCUGUAAUGCCAUUAAUUUGGUGUUGCGGGGAAUCUGGACUGUUACUUUGUAAAAAUUAGAGUGUUUAAAGCAGGCUAACGCCUGAAUACAUUAGCAUGGAAUAAUGAAAUAGGACGUUCGAUCCUAUUUUGUUGGUUUCUAGGAUCACCGUAAUGAUUAAUAGGGAUAGUUGGGGGCAUUAGUAUUCAAUUGUCAGAGGUGAAAUUCUUGGAUUUAUUGAAGACUAACUUCUGCGAAAGCAUUUGCCAAGGAUGUUUUCAUUAAUCAAGAACGAAAGUUAGGGGAUCGAAGACGAUCAGAUACCGUCGUAGUCUUAACCAUAAACUAUGCCGACUAGGGAUCGGACGAUGUUAAUUUUUUAAUGACUCGUUCGGCGCCUUACGGGAAAC
rnacentral:rRNA from 1 species